GAUGAACGCUAGCGGCAGGCCUAACACAUGCAAGUCGAGGGGUAGAGGAAGCUUGCUUCCUUGAGACCGGCGCACGGGUGCGUAACGCGUAUGCAAUCUACCUUUUACAGAGGGAUAGCCCAGAGAAAUUUGGAUUAAUACCUCAUAGUAUAUAUCAUUCGCCUGUUUGAUAUAUUAAAGUUCCAACGGUAAAAGAUGAGCAUGCGUCCCAUUAGUUAGUUGGUAAGGUAACGGCUUACCAAGACGAUGAUGGGUAGGGGUCCUGAGAGGGAGAUCCCCCACACUGGUACUGAGACACGGACCAGACUCCUACGGGAGGCAGCAGUGAGGAAUAUUGGUCAAUGGACGCAAGUCUGAACCAGCCAUGCCGCGUGCAGGAAGACGGUCCUAUGGAUUGUAAACUGCUUUUGUACGGGAAGAAACACUCCUACGUGUAGGAGCCUGACGGUACCGUAAGAAUAAGGAUCGGCUAACUCCGUGCCAGCAGCCGCCGUAAUAC
rnacentral:rRNA from 1 species